UACGAAGGGGGCUAGCGUUGUUCGGAUUUACUGGGCGUAAAGCGCACGUAGGCGGAUCUUUAAGUCAGAGGUGAAAUCCCAAGGCUCAACCUUGGAACUGCCUUUGAUACUGGGGAUCUUGAGUCCGGGAGAGGUGAGUGGAACUGCGAGUGUAGAGGUGAAAUCGUAGAUAUUCGCAAGAACACCGGUGGCGAAGGCGGGUCUCUGGGCAGUCACUGACGCUGAGGCGCGAAAGCUCGGGGAGCGAACGGG
rnacentral:rRNA from 1 species